rnacentral:rRNA from 1 species
AGUAAUACAUCGGAACGUGCCCUGUAGUGGGGGAUAACUAGUCGAAAGAUUAGCUAAUACCGCAUACGACCUGAGGGUGAAAGUGGGGGACCGGCAAGGCCUCAUGCUAUAGGAGCGGCCGAUGUCUGAUUAGCUAGUUGGUGGGGUAAAGGCCCACCAAGGCGACGAUCAGUAGCUGGUCUGAGAGGACGAUCAGCCACACUGGGACUGAGACACGGCCCAG